AUACGGAGGGUGCAAGCGUUACUCGGAAUUACUGGGCGUAAAGGACGCGUAGGCGGUUUAGAAAGUCAGAUGUGAAAGCCUAUGGCUUAACCAUAGAACUGCAUCUGAAACUCCUAGACUAGAGUGAGGGAGAGGUCAGUGGAAUUAGUGGUGUAGGGGUAAAAUCCGUAGAGAUCACUAGGAAUACUCAUAGCGAAGGCGACUGACUGGAACUUUACUGACGCUGAGGCGUGAAAGCGUGGGGAGCAGACAGGAUUAGAUACCCCAGUAGUCC
rnacentral:rRNA from 1 species